rnacentral:rRNA from 1 species
UCGCUAGUAAUCGCGAAUCAGAAUGUCGCGGUGAAUACGUUCCCGGGUCUUGUACACACCGCCCGUCACACCAUGGGAGUCGGGAAUGCCCGAAGUCAGUGACCCAACCAUAUGGAGGGAGCUGCCGAAGGCAGGUCUGAUAACUGGGGUGAAGUCGUAACAAGGUACC